rnacentral:rRNA from 1 species
UACGUAGGUGGCAAGCGUUAUCCGGAUUUACUGGGUGUAAAGGGCGUGUAGGCGGGAUGGUAAGUCAGAUGUGAAAACUAUGGGCUCAACCCAUAGCCUGCAUUUGAAACUAUCGUUCUUGAGUGUUGGAGAGGCAGGCGGAAUGCGCGGUGUAGCGGUGAAAUGCAUAGAUAUCGCGCAGAACCCCGAUUGCGAAGGCAUCUCACGAAUCCGCUAUUGACGCUGAUGCACGAAAGCGUGGGUAUCAAACAGG